UCUUCCUGGAAAACACCCACCAGGGCAGCUCAGGCCUUCUCGGUGAAAACUGCCUCCAAUUACCACGCACCCUGCUGCCAAGCAACACCCAGGGGGCUUCAGUCAAUGCCUGUGUGGAAACCUGCCCCAAACAGUCCCUCCCCACCACGGAGGGCUCUCUGCCUGACAAGCUUCAGAUUCUCCCUUCCAGAAGUCAUGGAGGAAAUGAGGACCCUGACAGUUUCCGUUUCUGUUUCUGUAUUUUCUUUUUUUACUUUUUUAAGAGAGUAUAUGAAUAUUUUAGAUCUAUAUCUUCAUUUUUUUUUAAUGUUUUUUACCUUGAGAGUGGGAGAGAGGCAGAGAGAGAGGGAGAGAGAGCAUCCCAAGCAGGCUCCGUGCUAUCAGCACAGAGCCCGAUGUGGGACUCAAACUCACAAACCGUGAGAUCAUGACUUGAGCCAAAACCAAGAGUCAGAUGCUUAACUGACUGAGCCACCCAGGCACCCCAACCGUUUCUGUAUUUUCAUUUCAGAGUCCACAAAAGUGUUCUGGAGAGAGUCAUUCAGGGGCCAGUGCUUAGAAUUUGAUCAUUUCCCCCCUCCUGCUAAGAAAGCAAGCCCAGCCAAUAACCAUCCCUUCUGAGAUGACUGGCAGUGUCCCCCAAGUGAAGGUUUAACUAGCUUCCCCCUUCUUGGGGAAGCUGUAAAAUAACACAGCUAGCAUUUUUCGUAUAGGGAAAUGUAUAUCAGGAGGCUGGGAGCAUGGUUCUCAUUAAUAUUAAACAUACUUAGGGAUGCCUGGGUGGCUCAGUUGGUUAAGCAUCCAGCUCUUGGUUUUGGCUCGGGUAAUGAUCCCAGGGUUAUGGGAUUGAGCCCUGCGUUGAGCUCCGCGCUGAGUGUGGAGCCUGCUUGAGACUCUCUCUCCCUCUCCCUCUCCCUCUCUCUCUCUCUCCCUCUCUCUCUCUGCCUCUGCUCCUUGACCCUGUUUGCUUGCUGUCUAACUUAAAAAUAAUAAGCCAUCCUUGCCCACCCAUGUCCUGAGGGUAAGUCACCAAUUCUCACCUUGUCUCCUUCAGCUACCUGACAGAUGACUUCUCCAGUGGAUGGAUUGACGGUGGGGAAUGUUUUCCUGCUGACAGCAUCGUGCCACUCAUUGUUUAUGAAGAUCUACAGAGAGAAGGAAGAAAGUUCUCAGGACCAGCUCUCAACCCAGUGCUGAGAACCAGCAAUUUUAAAAAAAAACCAAAACAUCAGAACAAACCUGAAUUAGCCUCUCAGAGUGAUGUGGCAUGAGGUUUAAAGCCCAGCCUUGGGGACCACCAAGUUGGAAUGCCCACUCUGCCAAGGGACUUGGGGAAGACGGCGGAGUAGGAGGAUCCUGAGCUCACCCUGUCCCACAGACAUACCAAGAGAACAGCUACAUCUAUUCAACUAACUCUGAAAACGACCGGAAGACUGGUAGAACAGACCUUCCACAGUUUGUCAUAAAGAGGAGGCCAUACUGAAAAGGGCAGGAAGGGCAGAGACACGGGCA